UUGUAGGUACCACUACAAUAUUUCUGAUGAUGGAUUAGCGCAACAUAUACUUAUAAGUUCAGUCCCUCCUCGAAUAUUUGACUUUACCAAUGGAUGCAACCACUGGUUUGGCUUCUGAAGUAUACUACAUGUGAUUACUUCACAAGGGUGUAUUAAAUCACUGCAUGUGUCUGCCUUGAUUCCAGCACAAGAAAAGCACAUUGCUGACGGAGUUGAUGGCAUCUGGGUCUCACAGAGUCAAAUUCCGAUGAACAGGCCACGAACAAGGCUUGGACUCUUGGUGUAUUUGGGUCCCUGCACUUGUGGUCGGUAGGCAUCAUCUCGUGACACUGCU